UAAGUGCUUGACUUUUAAGUCUUUUUCUAAUCUUUGCCUACUCGUUCCUUGUAGCUGUUUCAAGUUAUUAGUAUCUUGAAGAGAUGCAUAGAUUUUAUCGAGCCAAGCCUGAAUUUUUUCAGUUGUACAGAUAGUUAUUCCCCAGUUUAAGGCGUUUUCGAGAGGAUCCACGGAACAAUGCUGUGGUUGAGUCAGAGCACGUUCCAACAUUGCAUCCGUCCGCGAUUUCUAUAAAAUAUCUUUGGGUAGGGUGACCCUGUAGAUUGGUCGUAUUGUACAAAGGACACUCAGAACUUAAAAGUGAUGUAGGAGGAGUUGGAGUUGGAAUUUCUAAGCUCCUCAGCGAGGGGGUUCCCCCGCUGCCUCCACUGAUACAACCCCAUUUAUAUUUCUCAGAAUUAAUUUGACCAACUUUAUCUAUACGAUCUGUGACAACUAGACUAACGAUUCACAAAGAAAAAAAGGAACAAACAAUAAACUGACAUGUAUCAGUUAGGCAAAUGAAGACAAAUGAAGACAUUUUAAAAAAUGUUUCUGUCAUCAUCAUAAAUAAAAAAUUCAUCAAAGUAUGCAUAUUCAAAGUUUGGCUAAAAGAUAGAAGGACUGUAUACAAGUUAAAAGU